GACGAACGCUGGCGGCGUGCUUAACACAUGCAAGUCGAACGAUGAAGCGGGUGCUUGCACUCGUGGAUUAGUGGCGAACGGGCGAGUAACACGUGAGUAACCUGUCCUUUUCUUUGGGAUAACGGCUGGAAACGGCUGCUAAUACUGGAUAUUCAGGCUGCAUCGCAUGGUGUGGUUUGGAAAGGUUUUUUCUGGGAUUGGGUGGGCUCGCGGCCUAUCAGCUUGUUGGUGGGGUGAUGGCUUACCAAGGCUUUGACGGGUAGCCGGCCUGAGAGGGUGGGCGGGCGCACUGGGACUGAGAUACGGCCCAGACUCCUACGGGAGGCAGCAGUGGGGAAUAUUGCACAAUGGACGAAAGUUUGAUGCAACGACGCCGCGUGGAGGGUGUAGGCCUUCGAGUUGUGAAAUCCUUUGUCUCGCGAAAAAGGCACAGUUUUGGCUGUGUUGAUGGUAGUGGGGGAAGAAGCGCCGGCUAACUACGUG
rnacentral:rRNA from 1 species